UGCGUAGGUGGUUUGUUAAGUCUGAUGUGAAAGCCCUGGGCUCAACCUGGGAAUUGCAUUGGAUACUGGCAGGCUAGAGUGCGGUAGAGGAUGGCGGAAUUCCCGGUGUAGCAGUGAAAUGCGUAGAGAUCGGGAGGAACAUCUGUGGCGAAGGCGGCCAUCUGGACCAGCACUGACACUGAGGCACGAAAGCGUGGGGAGCAAACAGGAUUAGAUACCCUGGUAGUCCACGCCCUAAACGAUGCGAACUGGAUGUUGGGAGCAACUAGGCUCUCAGUAUCGAAGCUAACGCGUUAAGUUCGCCGCCUGGGGAGUACGGUCGCAAGACUGAA
rnacentral:rRNA from 1 species